rnacentral:tRNA from 1 species
GCCUUCGUGGUGUAGUGGCCAGCAUGCUCGACGCGUAUUCGAGAGGUCCGUGGUUCGAGUCCCGGCUAGGUCU